AGGCGCCCCGCAGCCUGAUCCCUCGGCUGAGGCGGGGUCAGAGGGCUAAGGGUGACUGACUGCCCAGUGCAUGGAUCUCAGCAGCACGGCUUGACUUUCGGGCGGCAGGCAAGGAUGCUAAUCCACAAGGUUCCUGAGUCCAACAUCCCUCCCUCCAAUGUGGGGCUCGAAUCCGCUAUUGCAACCAAACCCGGGUUCUGCCCGCAGGGUGGCGCAAUGACAAGAGCCACCAGGUGACCCUGGUAACUCCCGCACCUAGCUCCUGGGUUCCUGAACUUCAAGCUGGGCCCCAUCCUUCACCCUAUCAGGGCCCUGGGUGGAGCUGACUUCCAACAGUAUACAGUGGGUCUUGGUACUUCCUCCUUGGCAUUCGACAGUUGGUGUUUUUGAAGUCAGAGCCAUCCUCAGUAGGCUCCUAGGGGAUCGUAAGCGGCUUUCUCUGGGUGGAAACCUACUCCAUGCAGCCUUCAGCAAAGGAUCCUACGGCUGUUGAUCCCCUCGGAAGUGAGACAUAAUGUCCCGGAGCAGAUGCUGAUGGGGACUCACUGUUGGGCCACCUGAUUUCUGUGUUCAUCUUCCCAGGCUCCACCUUUCAGAUCCCAUCCCUGGUGUCUGCAGUUACAACUUUACUAACCAGAACUUUGUUUCCAGCUUACGCUGAAAAGCAAAGGGUGACUUAGAAUAAAAAUGUAACAAAUAGCCCCAUAGCCCAAACCUUUUCUGCCAUGAUUUACUGUACCAGAUACCUAUAAGUGUCCAGGGCAAAUUAAACACAUCAAUAAAUGG
rnacentral:lncRNA from 1 species